rnacentral:lncRNA from 7 species
AGAAGUCAGAACACAACCUGCACUGCACGAGAUGAGGACGGUGCACUCCACAGCUGCUGGCAUUUGCAUCCUUCUUCUCAUGGUCAUGUCUUGCACCCUCAUGACGACACCCACCUGGGCAGCAGAGGAUUGCUACCAGCAGUACCCGACAUGCCAGGACGCCGUGUGCGAGGCAAAAUGCAGUGAGGAAUUCCACUCCAAGCUCUCCGGUUUCAGGUGCACGAGCCGUAUGCACAUCCCUGUUUGCUGCUGCACCCACACUUGACGCGGCCGGCCGGGGAUGCGUCAGAUCCAAUUAAUAUAAUACAACAACAACCGUGCUCAAGCUGGUCACCGAAUAGUAUGUAAGAGUAGCAAUAAUUAUAUAUUCUAUAAAGAUAUAUGUAACAGCUGGACUUGCUCUUCCAUGAAAGAAAAAGAUUUUAAAAAAUA